rnacentral:rRNA from 1 species
AGUGAACGCUGGCGGUAGGCCUAACACAUGCAAGUCGAACGGCAGCACAGUAAGAGCUUGCUCUUACGGGUGGCGAGUGGCGGACGGGUGAGGAAUACAUCGGAAUCUACUUUUUCGUGGGGGUUAACGUAGGGGAACUUACGCUAAUACCGCAUAUGACCUACGGGUGAAAGCAGGGGAUCUUCGCACCUUGCGCGAUUGAAUGCGCCGAUGUCGGAUUAGCUAGUUGGCGGGGUAAAGGCCCACCAAGGCGACGAUCCGUAGCUGGUCUGAGAGGAUGAUAGGCGACACUGGAAGUGAGACAGGGUCAAGAGUCCUAAGGGAGGCAGCAGUGGGGAAUAGUGGACAACGGGCGGAAGCAUGAUCCAGCCAGACCGCGUGGGUGAAGAAGGCGUUCGGGUUGGAAAGACGGUUUGUUGGGAAAGAAAAGCAGCAGGUUGAGACCACGCGGGUCUGACGGUAAUGAAAAAAUAAGCACCGGCUAACUACGUG